CUUGGUCAUUUAGAGGAAGUAAAAGUCGUAACAAGGUAUUCGUUUGUUUUCAAUGUGCAAGGACCCUG
rnacentral:rRNA from 1 species